rnacentral:rRNA from 1 species
UACGUAGGUGGCGAGCGUUGUCCGGAUUUACUGGGCGUAAAGAGCGCGCAGGCGGUCGUUCAAGUCGCGUGUGAAAGCCCCCGGCUCAACUGGGGAGGGUCACGCGAUACUGAUCGACUCGAAGGCAGGAGAGGGUAGUGGAAUUCCCGGUGUAGUGGUGAAAUGCGUAGAUAUCGGGAGGAACACCAGUGGCGAAGGCGGGUCUCUGGACAGUUCCUGACGCUGAAGCACGAAGGCCAGGGGAGCAAACGGG